rnacentral:rRNA from 1 species
CGGAGACAGGUGGUGCAUGGUUGUCGUCAGCUCGUGUCGUGAGAUGUUGGGUUAAGUCCCGCAACGAGCGCAACCCCUAUCUUCAGUAGCCAGCACGAAAGGUGGGCACUCUGGAGAGACUGCCAGGGACAACCUGGAGGAAGGUGGGGAUGACGUCAAAUCAUCAUGCCCCUUAUGACCAGGGCUACACACGUGCUACAAUGGCGUAAACAAAGGGAAGCGACCACGUGAGUGUAAGCGAAUCCCAAAAAUAACGUCUCAGUUCGGAUUGUAGUCUGCAACUCGACUACAUGAAGCUGGAAUCGCUAGUAAUCGCGAAUCAGAAUGUCGCGGUGAAUACGUUCCCGGGUCUUGUACACACCGCCCGUCACACCAUGGGAGUCAGUAACGCCCGAAGCCGGUGACCCAACCAGUUCUGGAGGGAGCCGUCGAAGGUGGGACCGAUAACUGGGGUGAAGUCGUAACAAGGUAGC